GGAAGCCAACCGGCCGGAUCAGGGGCCCGUCUUGAACACGGGCGACGGGCUGUCCCGCUUGUGGGUUCGAGCCCCACGGCUUCCG
rnacentral:tRNA from 1 species